CAUAGGAAGCUGCAGAAACCUGAGAAAUCUAUUUUCGGUUACGACCGCUCGAAGUCUUGGCAAAUUAGAAGAGUUAAAGGUAAAUGACAUGCCAAAUCUGGUAGAACUCAUAAGCAAUGAAGAAAGUGAAAGGAGAGAGGAAAACGAUAAAAUAAUCGUGCUGCCAGAGUUGAAAGUCCUGAGAAUUACAAAUUCUGGAAACAUGGAACGGCUUUGUACAGAGGCUUUCUGUAUGGAUCUACCAUCGUUAGAAGAAUUUGUUCUUCUGGAGUGUCCUAAAAUGGCUGACACUGUUAAACGUGGACUGGGUAGCGCAUCAAAUCUUCUUAAAGCACAGAUUGAGGAGCAAUCAUUCUUUGGCACAAUGGCACGAGAAGUUUUCAGUAGAAAGGUGUGAUGAAUCACCAAUCGCUAGUUGGUACAGGGAUUAGGGAAGUCCUUGGCACUUAUUGAAGGGGUGUACAUUUGUGGAAGCUUAUUCAUUUGUUUUAUCUUUUCACACGUUUCUUCAAUUGACAUCAAACAGAGUCCAUGGACAAUAAAGAUUGGUUUCCUAUAUUAGGGUUUGUAUAUAAUGUAGAAUGCCUCCCUAUCCAUGUGUUGGUUUGCCUUUGCUG